GUCUGCCUUUAGUGUAGCCUGGAGAUACAGCCAGUUUCGAUCUGUUCUCCCUCAAAAUUAAAUGAAAUUAAAUUAAAUUAAAUUUUAUUUGUAUAGCGCUUUUAACAAUGAACAUUGUCUCAAAGCAGCUUUACACAGAUAAUGUGGUGAUUAAAAGUAAAUAUGUUCUUUGUAAGUAAGUUUGUCCCUGAUGAGCACCUGUGGCUAGGAAAAACUCUCCGAGAUGGCAUAAGGAAGAAACCUUGAGAGGAACCAGACUCAAGAGGGAACCCAUCCUCAUCUGGGUUGCACCGAAUGUCCAUUUGAAGCAGAAAUGCAAGCUCUCGUGGGUCUCCUAAACUCAUUAGACUCUGAGGGAGAUGGUGAACUACUGUGUGAACUACCAGUGGCCAUUCAACAUUGUGCAACCUGUCACUCAGCACUGACCAUUCAGCAGAGUCACUCAGCACUGACCACUCAGCAGUGGCCUUUCAGCAUGCAUUCUGCAUCGCGCAACCUACCAAACAGCAGCUAAGAUAGCAAGAAUCACCUCGUAUACGAUCAGUUCCAUACCAGUAAAGUUGAGUGUUCUGAAUCCUGUACCGUGUUUUGACUGACAUGCUGGGGCGAGUACAAUCCCCUGAUCAGCGCACACCAUAUAGUGAAAAUCCUAACGUUUGGUCAUUCGAGCCGGAUAGGAAACCUUCCUAACAAUUGGUUGUGAUUCUGUCCAUUGUGACUGUGUAUGUAAGGGAGUGGCAUUGCAUGACUACAGCACAGUGCUGUGCAUAAAAGCAGACUGACCCAGGCGGGAGAAUAAUUUCUUCUUUACAUUUUUGAAAACGCACAUCAGAAUGGCCUCCAUAUCACUGCCACGCAGGAAGAACCUCUCCGCGCAACAGGCUUUGGCCUGGCUUCAGGAAAUGGACGAAGCAGACUCUGAUGGAGGAGAGAUUUCAUUUGUCCAGCAGGCCACUGAUACCUCUCUAGAAGAAUCCUAAAAGGAGAUGGAACAAGAACCCGUGCACCGUGGUACUGGGAAGCCCUGUCUGAGCCAGACGGCAAAAGCCGGCACUGUGUGGGUAGAGGAGGACAUUGGAAUGCCCAGUGCAGUAGCAAAUCACUCGUGCUUCACUGCGCAAGCUGGACCCACAGAGUCUGCUAAGUGUAAAAUUACAAGCGUGCUCCAAAGCUUCCUUUGCCUGUUAGACGUGGGAAUGCUGCAGACCAUCAGGGAGUGCACGGUCCAUCAAGCCCGCAGAACAGAGCCGGACUGGAAUUUGGCAAUUCAUGAACUGAUGGCAUUCAUUUCAAUUCUGUUUGUAAGAGCAAUCAUCUGUCCCGUUGGUGCCAUUGUGGAUUGCUGGUCAGAAAGCUUUUUGGUGCCAGUAAUCAAAGAGACAAUGCCCCGAGAUAGAGUCAUUUCAAUUAUGCAACACCUUUGAUUUGAUGACAAGGACACGUGGGCAGAACGGGUGAAAACAGACAAAUUUGCUGCGAUCUCCGACAUCUGAACACGCUUCAACAAGAACUGUGCUGAGAGUUUCACUUCAGGAGAACACAUGACCAUAGAUGAACAGCUGUUCCCUACCAAGGUUCGUUGUCCAUUCACACAGUAUAUCGCAACCAAGCCAGACAAAUUUAGGAUCAAGUUCUGGAUGGCCACAGAUUUGGAGACCAAAUAUGUCUGCAAUGCAUCUCCUUACUUGGGAAAGGACCCCAGUCUUCAGAAGGGAGAGAGGCUGGCAGAGAACGUGGUCAUGAAUCUGAUUGAGCGAUUUUUGGAUGAUGGGAGAAAUGUCACGACGGACAAUUUCUUUACUUCACUGUCACUGUUGCACAGACUGCUGCAGCGCAAAACAACGCUACUGGGCACGGUGAAUAGAAGUGCCAGUGUCUGCUUGACAGUUUAUGCACCUAAAAAAACAAGACUGUGUGUCUUCUAAGUUCCAUGCACCAAGACGUGACGAUCGGUGAUGGCAGAAAGAGGAAAUCCAACACGAUAACAGACUAUAACUACAAUGCCUCACAGGUAAUGGGUGUGUUUGCACAACAAAAGCAGGAGAACAAUGGAGCUGAUGGCCUGUGAAAAUCUCAGCAGGGGGCUACUAGGUGUGAGGUCCAGGGAAUUUCCGCAAAUUUGCGCAGGUUUAGUAAAGUAGGUCUAGUGUUUUAACAGAAAAUUUCAACAUACAAACAUAAUGCAUAUCCACAAUUUAACAUGAUCACAUAAUAUUGAGAACAGUAAAGGAAAAUAACUAGCUAAAAAGUAGCUAGGUCUGAAAUUUACACAUUUACAAGAAAAAUCAUAAUAAAUUCUGGGUGUCCUGCUCCCGCAAGGUUCUGUCUCGUUUCUGCAAAAUAGGUUAUUUUCUCCCGCUCCCGAUCAAGAUAUUUAAGUUUUGUCCUACUCUCUCCUAUAUUGAAUUCGUACACGCUCUGGACAAGGCUAGGAUCUUCACUCUCAAAGAAGCAUUCCAGAUUCUUGACUAAGCAUUUCACAGUCCAUAAAUUGAAGUUGAAAAAUUGAUGUUUGCCAUAUUAGAUAUAUUACUUUUUUGUAAUUUCUUUAGUUAGUGUGUUGGUUUGAUCUACUAUCUAUCUAUUAUAAUCUUUUUUCUUUAUUGCGGAAAGGGUUAAUAAAUUAGUAUUAAUGUCCAGAAAUUUGGAAUGGCAUGUUCAGUGUUCAGAUGUCCGCAUACUUUUGGCCAUAUAGUAUUAUUCCCUACAGGACAGCAAACCUCCAGGGCUCAACCCAGUUUUCCAAUAAAGUAAAGUUCAGUAGAAGAUUGUCAAAAUGAAUUUAGGCUAUAGAUCAACUUGGGCGAGUUGGGCAUGAUCAGCCUGCCACAACCCUGCUAUGACAAAAAAAAAUUAAGACAGGCAAUGUCACUGGUAUUCUUCCCAAACUUCCUGAUUGCCAAUGUGGACAUAAUGUCAAGAGUCAAGUCAAGAAGCUUUAUUGACAUUUCAACCAUUUAUAGCUGACGCAGUACACAGUGAAAUGAAACAACGUUAGACAACAUAAAGCCUCGGGUGGUUGGCUGACAGAUGUUUAACCCAAUGUGGUCUUCUGAUAUGAACUUAAAGCUUUUAAACUAAAUCUACAUCCUUAUUGGUUUACUGCAUUAAUGAACAGUGUAGCCAUUAGAUGAGACUUAGAUUAGAUUAAACUUAUUUGAAUGUUAAUAUUAUAUUUAAAAUAUUUAGCUUUUAGUUACCUAAAAGCUGUGAGUUUAGAUAGUUGUUGAUCAAUGUUCAGCAUAUUCUGUAUAUAAAUGUCAGAAUAAAAAGUAAUAGGUUCUUUGUGAAACUACAGUUUUUUUGCAUUGCAUAGCAUGCCAUGUGCACUUACUCGUGCUGAAAGUCAUUGUAUUGCAGAACCGUAUAGAGCAAUUAUUAUAAGCAGCACAAUUUAAACACCCCACUUUAAUUUGAAUAAUAGUAAUCUUCCAAAUGCCUUUCCUCAUACAAAUUUAAUAACAGUAAAACAGGACUGAGAAAUAACAUCAUGAAAUAUUUGUUAUUAUGCAAAUAAGGCUAUUACUUACAAUUAAUAUUCAGAAUAUAAAUACAAAAUAAUUCAAUUCAAUUCAUUUUUAUUUGUAUAGCACUUUAACAAUGAACAUUGUCUCAAAGCAGCUUUACACAGAAAAUGUGGUGAUUAAAAGUGAAUAUGUU